CAGGGGUGCGGGGGACGACGAGAAAGUUGCAGGGCGGUUCGAGUCACCGCCCGUCCGCCGCUGGAGCCUGCCGCGGGCAGGAGUGUAGAUUUCAUGGCUGUGGACUCGCCAGAGAUCCUCCGCGAGCCGCGGCCGAUGGCAGCGGGAUGGGGAUGGGGAUCGGGGCCGGGACCUUUGUGUGCGGGGUGUGCCCGGCCCCGCGCUGCCGGCGAGCACGGAGCUCCCCGGGGACUGCCGGGGCGGCGGGAGAGGAAGCGGAGGUAAAGAUCACAGCUUUCUCAACAAAGACCCAAUCUGAAAAUGGAGUAAAAAUUGGUGCAAGAAGUUUGCUUUCUGGAAGGAAGUGAGUUUCCCUGCUCUACAGCUCCAAGCCCCAAUAUCAAUUCAUGUUUUCUAAUAUAGUAUGCAUUUUGUAUCAAGUCUGUGCCUUUUCUGUUACUUUUGGAAGACUCUUCUGAUUAUUAUAUACAAGUGGUAAUGUGGUUUUGUAAAUUAAAGAUUUUUUUCUUGUUCAAUGCUUUGUUUUAUUCACUAAAAUCACAAUAUGAUUUUGCACAUUUUAGGGAAAAAAGAUGACAUUUAAACAUUCAAAAAGCUUUACUGUUGGAACUGAUUAUUUUUUAGUAAAAAUUUGUGAAUACCUCGUUAUUGUUAUUUAUGAAGCUGAAGUGCUAUUCACUUACAUACGUUAAUGUUUUCUCGAGGAAUGCCUUAAACUUUUGGAAACAAUUUGCAUUUGGAGAGUGUAAUUUUCUUUCACUUACACAUUCACUCUAUUUGUGAAAGUAUCUAAAAAAAAAUCAAAACAUAGAAUCUUUUUGUACAUUUCUUAUAUUCUAACUUGUUUAGCUCCUAGGUUUUGUAGGUUCCUUUUAAGGGAAUUGGAUUUUCUCCUUGCAUUUAGAUUAACAAUGAAAUUAUUCAUUCUUACUCACUGGAUUAUAUUCCUCUCUAAUUAUUUUAAUCUCUUAUAUAUCACUAUAAGAAGGACAGGCUUCUUUUUUUAAAAAGAAAAUUGGUCUUCUGUGUCAUGUCAGUGCUUAUUAAAUACUACAAUCAUAAGAACAUAUAUGCUACAAGAUUUUAUGUUCUGAUUCCAUAGCUGUUAAAGGCUUAGUGUUUGCAGUAUUUAUUUAGUGGUAAUGCAUUUCUUUUCCUAUUUUGCAUUUCAAAAGUCUUCUUUAAAUGAUUGUUUUACAGAACUAUCAAGAGGUUAUCUAAAUUUUUCCAUCCAAUAUUACACAAUACCAUAAAGUGGUAGUCACGGAGUUUUUUCCAGUCCAUGUAUAUUCCUUCUACAGAGGGAAUUAAACAGAAAUUCAUAAAAAAUGUUUCCUUAAAUAACUGAAUGUAUUAGGCUUCACUGAAUUUUGACCAAAGCAGAAUUUCAGGCUGUUCAAUACUGAGCUAGUGUGUUACAUGGUGUGAGAUUGAAGUAUUUUUAUUUGAAAACUAUACAGUAGAUUUUUCAUGAAUAUACUCAUGUUGCCAUGGUGCAGCUUUAAUCAAGUUGUUGCAAAGUAAUUAGUUUUUUCUUUGGUCAUGCUUCUUUAUAAGACUAAAGAUUGAGCUUUAAAAUAGCUAACAUUAAAAAAA